GGCCAUGCUCGUGCUUCUUCUUCUCCUUCUUCUUCUUCUUCUCCCCAACAGGCCCGUGUUCAUGUCCAUGUCCUUGGAUCUUCUCCAUUAUCCCUCCCUUGUGUUCACCUUGCCCAUAACCCUCUCCCUUGUGUUCACCAUGCCCAUACCCCUGACCCUCUCCUUUGUAUUCACUAUGCCCAUACCCCUGACCCUCUCCUUUGUAUCCACCAUGCCCUUGCCCCUCUCCCUUGUAUCCACCAUGCCCUUGCCCCUCUCCCUUGCGCUUCUCCUCCUCCUCCUUGCGCCCUCCCCCCAUGUGAAGGGUCUCCUCUAUCUUGUGGAUGAUUCCUGCCAUUUUUCUCUCUGUGAAAACCUUGAUCUGAUGUACACAACAAUGGACAACCAACCUCCCUUAUUUAUGGGCAUUCAUAUUCCAACUUAUCUCAACCCUUGUUUCUGAUUCAUGUUCCAUUGCAAUAUCAUGAACGUACACGUGGAUGAUAUUAAAUGCGAAUUUUCUUCUGAUUUUUCCAAGACACGCGGCGGAUCGAGACAGCAUUUCC
rnacentral:lncRNA from 1 species